rnacentral:misc_RNA from 1 species
GAAAUGCGAUAAGUAAUGUGAAUUGCAGAAUUCCGUGAAUCAUCGAAUCUUUGAACGCACAUUGCGCCCUCUGGUAUUCCGGGGGGCAUGCCUGUCCGAGCGUCAUUACGCACCCUCAAGCCCGGCUUGUGUGAUGGGCUCCAGCGUCUCCUUCCGGGAGACGGGCCCCAAAGGCAGCGGCAGCGUCGACCCGAGAAGCCCGAACGUAUGGGGACUAUCGUCACACGUUCGCGGUGCGGACCCACGCUCGCCAUGACUUUUUUUCUUAGGUUGACCUCGGAUCAGGUAGGGAUACCCGCUGAACUUAAGC